GAAUAAACAUAUCAGUUUAAACCCUAAUUAUUUUGAGUAGAAUAGCUUUGAUCAAGCGGCAACUCAAGGAUAUGCUUAAUUGAUAAGAUCUCUGAGGCGACAUCCAUGCUUCACUUGACUUGAAGAGUGCACCGUUGCCAUGGAAGCAAUGAUAUAUCUGCAGAAGUUUUCAAGUGUAUAUUGGAUUAAUUUUGCUCAACUCCAUUAUAAAGAUUUGUGUCUUUUUUGUAAGGAAUUAUGUAGUGGGAAUUUUCCUUGGUAAAUGAUUUGUUACUUGUCUUGUUUGUAAGAACUUGAUUGGGACUUCUCCAACAUUUCUACAGAGUAUUUUAGAUCAUAAGAUUUACAGAAAGCCAAUUAACUUUG